CCUACGGGUGGCUGCAGUGGGGAAUAUUGGACAAUGGGGGCAACCCUGAUCCAGCCAUGCCGCGUGUGUGAAGAAGGCCCUCGGGUUGUAAAGCACUUUCAGUGAGGAAGAACGCCUGGUGGUUAAUACCCAUCAGGAAAGACAUCACUCACAGAAGAAGCACCGGCUAACUCCGUGCCAGCAGCCGCGGUAAUACGGAGGGUGCGAGCGUUAAUCGGAAUUACUGGGCGUAAAGCGCGCGUAGGUGGCUUGAUAAGCCGGUUGUGAAAGCCCCGGGCUCAACCUGGGAACGGCAUCCGGAACUGUCAAGCUAGAGUGCAGGAGAGGAAGGUAGAAUUCCCGGUGUAGCGGUGAAAUGCGUAGAGAUCGGGAGGAAUACCAGUGGCGAAGGCGGCCUUCUGGACUGAAACUGACACUGAGGUGCGAAAGCGUGGGUAGCAAACAGGAUUAGAUACCCGAGUAGUC
rnacentral:rRNA from 1 species